CAUUAGGAAGAGUGACAAGAUAUGGCAGAGUUAAAGGUGUGAUGUUAAAAAGUAAUUGUUUAUCAUGUGUCAUGUGAUUAGAGGCAUCUGAAUCUAUAAUCCAGGUGACAGAAUUAAUAUGAGUAAGCAAGCAAAGUUUGAAAUAAAAAAUAGGGUUCUCAGUUAACAUAAUACCAGCAAAGUUUGCAGCAUAUAUGGGAGGAGGAGUUUGAGCAGUGGAUUCCCAUAACUUGGUCUGGUGUAACAAG
rnacentral:lncRNA from 1 species